rnacentral:rRNA from 1 species
AUGCACGGGAUAUCAUGGAAGAAGCUGUCCGUACCAAAGAUUCAGGGAGGCAUGGGAUUCAGAGAACUAAAGAACUUCAAUCUGGCGCUUCUCGGGAAACAUGGUUGGCGCCUAAUCACUCACCCCAACUCUCUCUGUUCCCGUGUCCUCAAAGGGAAAUAUUUUCCUGAUAGUGACUUCAUGCAGGCCAACGCCGCGCCAUCCUCUUCAGCUACCUGGAAGGCCAUCAUUGCGGGGCGA